GAGUUCUUAAUUCAUGUGCCAACUUUAUACCCGCUGGCAGGGUCAUGUUUCAUGUGGAUGCUAGCUCCGGAUGUCGACCUUCCCGAAGAAAUUCAUUCAUAGCCAUCUGAGAGCCUUUGAAAUCAUUAUAUCUUUUUCUUAAAGCAUACAUAUACAUACAUGAAAAAACAAUGAAAUUCAUGCUUCAUAAUCAUGCUAUUUUCAUAAGACAUAUUCAUGAAAUCAAUGCUCAUAAUAAAACAUGCUUUUUCAUAUCACAUAUGCCGAUCCUUAUUUUAUGAAAAAUUAUGAUUUCAUCAAUAGCAAUUUUUUGCAUAAAAACAUGAUCAUUUAAAAAUAAAUAAGGAGCAUAAGAUCUACUUACCUCGUUCAUCUUAGAUCUUCAGACUUCGUUAGAAGAAUCAGCUAAUCCUAUUUAAAAUAU
rnacentral:lncRNA from 1 species